rnacentral:rRNA from 1 species
AACCUCCGCAAUGUGAGAAAUCGCGACGGGGGGAUCCCAAGUGCCAUUCUUAACGGGACGGCUUUUCAUUAGUGUAAAGAGCUUUUGGAAUAAGAGCUGGGCAAGACCGGUGCCAGCCGCCGCGGUAACACCGGCAGCUCUAGUGGUAGCAAUUUUUAUUGGGCCUAAAGCGUCCGUAGCCGGUUUAAUAAGUCUCUGGUGAAAUCCUGUAGCUUAACUGUGGGAAUUGCUGGAGAUACUAUUAGACUUGAGACCGGGAGAGGUUAGAGGUACUCCCAGGGUAGAGGUGAAAUUCUGUAAUCCUGGGGGGACCGCCUGUUGCGAAGGCGUCUAACUGGAACGGUUCUGACGGUGAGGGACGAAAGUUAGGGGCGCGAACCGGAUUAGAUACCCGGGUAGUCCUAACUGUAAACGAUGCGGACUUGGUGUUGGGGUGGCUUUGAGCUGCUCCAGUGCCGAAGGGAAGCUGUUAAGUCCGCCGCCUGGGAAGUACGGUCGCAAGACUGAAACUUAAGGAAUU